rnacentral:rRNA from 1 species
AAUUCGAUUAGAGUUUGAUCAUGGCUCAGGAUGAACGCUAGCGGCAGGCUUAACACAUGCAAGUCGAGGGGUAUAUGUAGCUUGCUAUAUAGAGACCGGCAAACGGGUGCGGAACACGUACACAACCUGCCCUUAUCUUGGGGAUAGCCUUUCGAAAGGGAGAUUAAUACCCAAUAGUAUAUUAAAGUGGCAUCACUUAAAUAUUAAAGAAUUUCGGAUAAGGAUGGGUGUGCGUAAGAUUAGGUAGUUGGUGAGGUAACGGCUCACCAAGCCCACGAUCUUUAGCUGAUGUGAGAGCAUGAUCAGCCACACGGGCACUGAGACACGGGCCCGACUCCUACGGGAGGCAGCAGUGAGGAAUAUUGGGCAAUGGACGGAAGUCUGACCCAGCCAUGCCGCGUGAAGGAUGAAGGCGUUCUGCGUUGUAAACUUCUUUUACCAGGGAAGAAACCACAGAUUUCUAUUUGUGUUGACGGUACCUGGGGAAUAAGCACCGGCUAACUCCGUGCCAGCAGCCGCGGUAAUACGGAGGGUGCAAGCGUUAUCCGGAUUUACUGGGUUUAAAGGGUGUGUAGGCGGGCUAUUAAGUCUGGGGUGAAAUCUCCGAGCUCAACUCGGAAACUGCCCUGGAUACUGUUAGCCUUGAAUUAUGUUGAGGUUGGCGGAAUAUAACAUGUAGCGGUGAAAUGCAUAGAUAUGUUAUAGAACACCGAUUGCGAAGGCAGCUAACUAAGCAUAUAUUGACGCUGAGGCACGAAAGCGUGGGGAUCAAACAGGAUUAGAUACCCUGGUAGUCCACGCCCUAAACGAUGAUUACUCGUCACUGGCGAUACACAGUCAGUGACCAAGCGAAAGCGUU